GGAGCGAUGUGCCGACCGGUGCACUGGCUACAGUCUUAAUUAUGGUGUGGGAUCCUAAAAGCCCCGCAGAAGCUGGCAGCACCCAGGAGGAGCAGCACACGGCACCUGAACCUGAGCAAAUGAAAGUCAUCAAUCAUAUCCUCCGAAGAACCUCCUACGAAUCUAAGACCCAUUGGACUGUUCAUUGUGCUCGCUACUCACCUGCCAUUGCUUGUCACAAUCUGCAUCUCCACUCCUGUCAAUAAACCUGUCUUAACAUUCACUUACCCGUUGACUCUGGCAUUAUCUGUGACAGAAGACCAGAACCACGAAAAGAUGUCGACCUUUGGAGAGGUAUGUGGGGGAAUUCCUCAAGCUCUCCAACUGGGUGAGUUGGCACGACGCCGCACUUGGUGCCUGUUUUCAGCUGGGGCUGGAUGAAACCACGACCCGCUGUGAUCUCCCCAUUGUGAUUUUUCCCUUGAUCGAGCUGAUUAAUCUGAUCCUCUAUUUAAAUGGUUCUAAUUUAGAAGUAGAGGAAUGUAAGAUAUUCAUACCUGGCCAAUGGCUACAGCCACCCAUAUUCCCCUGUAUUCCCACGAGCCCGUAAGAGGACCUCCAACAGUGCUGACCGGGGGGCUAAAGUUAUGGACCCUUCAUUAACAUCUGUCCGGUCAGUGCUGAAAUCUGCCUCCUAUCCUCCGUGUCCAGCUCCCAAAACCAUCCCAAUCCUCAGCCCAGAAACGCCGGCCACCGCUGACUCAAGCCCACUGGCCUCUCCGCUGUCAAGCCCGUCAGUCAUCUCUCUCUCCUCCGCCCUAAAGAGGAGAUUGCGAAGGAAGAGACUGUGGGCUUCAGCCCCAGAGUUCGCUCCAGUGCCGGCUCCAGAUCCCCCGUUAAGCCCAGGGACAGCUCCUGAUCCCCCGUCGAGUCCAGGGAGGGCUCCUGAUCCCCUGUCAAGCCCAGUGAGGGCUCCUGAUCCCCAGUCAAGCCCAGGGAGGGCUCCUGAUCCCCCGUUAAGCCCAGAGAGGGCACCAGUAUUUCGGCGUCCAGUAUUUCCCCCAGGUAUUAAAUAUUUUUUUUAGGGUUAGGGCUCCGGUCCAAGUGGCCGGCCUGAGGGUCGAGGCCAAGACCACGGAGGCCGUCCCGCUCCGCCCGUGGCCUCCCGUGUCUCCGUCUUGGACCAGCCUGCAGGGUGCUCACCCCCCCUCCCCAAUGGAUAUGUUAUGGCGUGGGACGCACCUUCCGGGAGGGGGAGAUCCUCUGACGAAUCUCCUAUGUUGCUCUCCUCCGUUCCUGGUCCCCGAUCUCCCACGAACCUGCAAAGACAUCACAGCUCAGUAUUCAGCUAAGACCCAUUGGACUGUUCAUUGUGCUCGCUACUCACCUGCCAUUGCUCCUCACGAUCUGCAUCUCCACUCCUGUCAA